UCUUGGACAAAAACCUUAAGAUAUUAAUUUCAUAGGUCUUUCCUUCUUAUAAAUUUGUUCACUUCUCCCGCAUAUCCAAGGUGAGAUUUGACUAUAAAUUUCCCUAACAUUUGUUUGUUUAAGAUGAGCAACCCGAUGGUUUAGUGGUUGGAGAUUGAGUGGUGCAUUUCACAGACAACAUAAAUUAAUCUAUACAUCUAAGUGCAGAACAACACUUUCCCAAAAUGGGUGGAUAUGAGGUUUUAGAUCUCUGAAAAUAAUAUUGAACAUACACCUGAAGAGUAAGGAAUAGUGGUACAAAGAGAAGAAGAACAAGAAGAAGAACACACAGAAACUAGAGAGAGAUGCUGACAGAAGAGAGUGAGCACACGCUUGUAGUGAUUGUAUGAGAGCAUUCAAUUGUGGGUGCGUGCUCACUUAUCUUUCUGUCAGGUUCUCAUCUUUUUCUUCUCUCUUUUCUGUUCUUUCCUCUCAUUUUAUGUCUUCACUCUUAUCAUUCUUUCUUCCUAGCUAGCUUCACCAUUAUUUAUAAACAUAUAUGUUUAUAUGUUUUUUUGGAAUUGUUAUGGAUGGUACUUUCCUUCAUGGAGGAGAACAGCAUACCCAAAUCGAUAUCAUCAAAUGUACGCCUUCUUAUUAUUAUUUUACUGUUCAUAUUCUAACACAAAAAGAAUGAUCAAUGAUUUUUUUCAGAAUCAAAUUAACCAUCGUUUUCCGUACUUGCCUCGAUCUUGUUCUGCUCCUCCCGUUCUUAUUUGUUGUUCUAAAAAGCAGCCAUUUCAGAGAAGCUACACUUUAUGGGUUUAAAUUCUUGUUAUUUCUUUGGUUUUGUUAUUCCCUUUAGAUAAUGAUUUUUGAUUAUUGAUAAAGAAACUAUUCUUUCGUGUAGGAUGAGGCCUGGCUAGAACUGUGGAAUCUAGACAAGAUGAGAUCUGGAAGCGUCUACGUGGAUACGCGAUAAUAUAAUAAUAUAGUCCAAUCAGUAUAUCAAGAAAUGUGUUAUACAAAAGUAUAUGAAAAAAUAUUAAAUGUUCAUUUCCUUAACAGAGAUUCCCAAUAUUUAUAUAAAAUUGGAACACGAAAUGAAAUAUUCUUUAGUAAAUAUUAUUGACUGCCUUUACAUACCACUAUUUGUAUAAUAGACCUGUCUCACAGCAUGGCAAAAGUUGGUAUAGAGUCCAGACGACUAUUCGAGCAUGAUCAACAAACAACUGCACAAGUCGAAAACUGAAAACUAUGAAAAUGCCAUGUCUUCGUUCCUUGAAUGUCGUGUCUUUUUUUACCUUUUCAGUGUUUCAGGUAAAGGAAACCUUAAGGAAAGUACUUCAAGAACCUAAAUAUGGCAAUGUUUUCUUCUUUCCUUUCUUGGGCAGACAUGAAUUUCUUUUCUACCCUGAUUGAAGGGAUUCAAGUAGCAACCUUUCUCAUACAGGUUAGAGAUUUUUCAAAUAAACUGAUUCUCUGAGAUUUUUCUACCUUACUUGAGAUAAUAUUUCGUUGUCUGCUUUGAUUACAGGAUUAUUCCAUUGUUCAUAGGAGUGGUCUGUGAGAUGAAAACCUCUUCAAAAUCUUAUCACAUAUAUUGAUGGGUGUUACCUCGAAAAUGCACACAGAAGCAUGAAUUUUUGUGCGGAAUAUUUAUCUGCUAAAUAUAAUUUCUCCAUUUCCACAACCGAUAGAGAUGUUGCAAUAUACGAGAAACAGAAAUUUUUUCAUGUUUACCAUGAAUCUUUGCUGCAAUUAAAUCAUGUGAUGACACUGAAAAACUUAUAACUGAGAGGGGUAACGAUCUGGAUGGUGUCAUGAAAUCAUGCAAGCUGAAGUUGUGUUUAUGUGUUAUUCUCCAUUUGGGGUCACUUUGAAUUGUCUCAUAGACACCACAAAAAUGCUGGUUUGGUAGUCAAUAUGAUAAUUUAGUGAUUAUUAAUCGGGUAUACAUCUGCUCUCCCACACUUUGUAUUACUCCAAGUCCCAUGGGCAUGUGAUUACUCAUGCAUCAACUUGAAUUACCUAUUAGCCGUAUACCUAAUGAAGCUGCCUUGGCAUAAUAGAUUUCAUGUUAGCUCACGAUUUAAUGGAUCCAAGUUCAAACUUUCGUUUUUCAAAUUGUAUGUAUUUGUUAGACAAAUCUGUGUAUUGAAGUUUCUAAAUAAGCCGCGUAUAUGGGAAUUAUAUGCUGUCCAUUUGUUGUAUUUGUGACUAUAUAUGUGUGUGUAUAAGCAAGUCCUUGUUAUUGUAAUGGUAAUGUUAUAUACCUGUGGUGAAUAAUGGUAAUGUCAGUAAUCUCAUAUUGAA
rnacentral:lncRNA from 1 species